AUGCCGCUCCUCGAUCCUUGUGCCGCGCCCCGGCGCUCCUCUCGAUGCCCCUCCCCCGCCCUACUUCAACGCACCCCGUUUGCCCCUUGCCAGUCCAUCACCUCUCGCCCUCUCUGCUUCCGAUGCUUAGCCGCUGACCACCUAGUCCGAGCCUGUAGAGAUCCGGUCCGCUGCUCUCGCUGCGGCGGCUCCGGCCAUCGUAGCUUUGCCUGUACCUCCAACCUCCCCCUCGCCCUCCAGCGCCUCCGCCUCCUUUUCCACCCACCCGCAAUGGCUGCCCCCCACCCCCACUCGCUCGCUCCUGCCCCUGAGGGCCCUGCCAGAACUCUCCAGACCGGCUCCAUCCGCCUCACCGUCCUCGACGGCCACCACCCUCUCUGCGAGACCCGCUCUGACUCCUCGGACGGCGACUCGGCGCCCCUGUCUCAGCGGGAGGAGGCCUCUGACGCAGCCUCCGUCGUCCAUGGGCCGCUGCGCCCCCGCUCUCCUUUGUCAUCCUCGGCGUCCUCGCAUGGCCGUGCCCACUCCACUUACCCAGACAUCUUCGUCCCGUCUGGGCUCAUCCAUGACGUCAGCCGUUUCUGCUUCGUGCACCUUGACGCUGUCAUGGCCGAGCCCUUCGACUUCAUCCACCAAGCCAUCGAACACCAUGCUGAUAAUCCCUCCUUCCACUUUGCUACCACGACGGGCUGUGCGGCGCUCAUCGUCUUCGAUUGCACCGAAGACCGUGAGGCGGCCAUGGCCUUCUUCCCCGCCAAGUUCCUCGGCGUCACCAUCACUCUCCUCCGCCCCGAAGAAACUGACAACUGCGCCACCACUCGAUAUGACCGGCUGGUCGAGAUCGAGGACAAGAACUUCCCUCUUGAACUGCACCCUCAGGGGCGAACUUUCUCUUCGGCCACUUUGGCGUGCUCUGUUGCGUCGACCAAAACUCUCUCAGUGCCGGUGACUUCACGGCGGUGCGUGCGUUCAUUCGUGUCGAGAGCGACAAUGACACUCCUGAUGGAUGCAGCCUCCACCUCCCCCCUGGCCAGAUCGUCGAUGUCAAGCUGCGCCGUAUCAAGACCUGGGCCAUCUUUGAGGACAUCUCCGUCCCUCUAG
rnacentral:rRNA from 1 species